rnacentral:rRNA from 1 species
GCGCGAAACCUUCACAAUGCACGAAAGUGUGAUGGGGGAACUCAGAGUGCUUAUGCUUUAUGCAUAAGCUUUUGCCGACUCAAAACUGGUCGGCGAAUAAGUGAUGGGCAAGACUGGUGCCAGCCGCCGCGGUAACCCCAGCGUCACGAGUGGGAAUCGGUAUUAUUGGGUCUAAAGCGUCCGUAGCAGGUCUGUUAAAUUGCCUGUGAAAUCGCACAAGUCAACUGUGCGGAAGGCAGGUAGGACUGGCAGACUAGAGACUGGGAGACGUUGGAGGUAUUCAAAGGGGAGCGGUAAAAUGCGAGAAUCCUUUGAGGACCACCUGUUGCGAAGGCGUCCAACAAUAACAGGUCUGACUGUGAGGGGCGAAAGCUAGGGGAGCGAACCGG